UUUAACCCACAGUGCCACUCGUGUCCCUUUUACACAUUUACACAUCAUCAAAAAAGAAAGAAAGAAAGAAAGAGGAAAAAGAGAGGAAAUGCAUAUCCCCACAAAAAGGACAAAAGAGGGUGCUGAUUUCCAUCAGCUUUGCCAAAAGAUCAACUCCAUGAGGCAUCUCCUACCCCUAAGCAGUGCUAGCUGUCCAUUUUAAGGACAACUGCAUAAGAAUUGGUCUCUGAGUUUGAAGUUUUCCUUGUCUACCCUUGUCCAUUUUUCCUUGUGUGUCAUGUACUUUUAGAUUGUAAACCUGCAGGCAAGGACUGUCUUGUUUUAACGGAUUGUAUGUAAGCCAUGCUGGGAGUUUUUGUUUUGGCUGAGGAGCAGGGUACAAAUGCUCCAACUGAACAAUAAACAAAAAAUAUAACAAUCUGUGUGUUAAAAUGCAAAGCCCAGAAUUAAAUAUAAAAAACGUAUUGAUGAUAGAAAGAGGGGAGGCUUUUCACUACCAGACUUAAAGUUGUACUAUGAGGUGGCUUGCCUGGUAUGGCUGAAGGAAUAGAUCAAACUAAAAGGCACAGGAACCCUGGACCAAGAAGGACAUGAUUUAAGGUAUGGUUGGCACAGUUACCUAUACUGUGGUAAAGCAAGAACACACAAGGCCUUCUCCAAUCAUGUAAUAAGAAGAAGUCUGUAUAAUGUAUGGAGUAGAUAAGGAAAGAAAAACACCUCUUUGGAUAUCACCAACUGAAACAGUGGCAGUUAAGAAGAGGAAUAUGGGAGAUAAAUGGGGAACCUAUGGAUAUCUGGUGACCACUGAAGAAGACAAAGUAAGGCUUAAAGAAAGAGAAGAAACUUCAGAAUUUGUGAGCGAUUGUUUUCAGUACUUUCAAAUAAAUGAAUUACAGUUGUACCUUGGAAGUCGAAUGGAAUCCUUUCCGGAAGUCUGUUUGACUUCCAGAACAUUCAGAAACCAAAGCACAGCUUCUGAUUGGCUGCAGGAAGCUCCAGUCAGAAGCUGCGGAAGCCAUGCUGGACAUUCGGCUUCCAAAAAUCGUUUGAAAACUCACUUCCGGUUUUCAAUCGUUCAGGAGCAGAAACAUACAAGUUCCAAGGCUUUCAGCAACCAAGGUAUGCCUGUAUUCAAAGAAGAUAAAAAGAAGGGAUUUGUAAAAAAGGAAUCAGAAUUUGGGAAAACAAUUCAAGGAAAGGAUGAGAAGUUGUUACCAAAGAUAUAUACAUUUUGCUGGAAUGGGAUACAAAAGACGAGCUGGUGAAGGAGGCAAUGAUUCAUUAGGCUGCAGACUUUGGAUAUAAUAUAGGGCUGGCUGACUGGGAGAAAUUAUGGAACAAUACUAUUAAAAUUUUAGCAAGCUAUACAAUUAGAGACAAUAUACUAAAUAUGUUUUUUAGGUGGUACCCAGCAAACUGGUAAAGAUAAAUAAAAGGAUCCAACCAAUGCUGGAAGUGUAUGAAUGCAGAUGGCACGUUAAUUCACAUGUGGUGGCAGUGCAAAAGGGCAAAAGAGUUUUGGGGAAUGAGCCAUGAAGAACUUAAGAAAAUGCUCCAAUGUUCAUUCCCCACAAAACCAGGAGCAUUCUUGCUAGCGCUAAUAGGACAGGAACUCCCAAACAAAAUUUUAAAAAAACCUAUUUGUCUAUGCAACUGUAAUGGCCAGGAUAUCAUAUAUGAAAAUGUGGAAAGAAAGGGCAAUCCUGACAAAAUAUCAGUGGCUGUUCAAAGUAAUAGAAUUUAUAGAAUUAGCCAAUAUGAUGGCUACGUU
rnacentral:lncRNA from 1 species